UACGAAGGGUGCAAACGUUGCUCGGAAUUAUUGGGCGUAAAGCGCACGUAGGCGGUCCGGAAAGUCCCAUGUGAAAUCCCACAGCUUAACUGUGGAAGUGCAUGGGAAACCUCCGGACUUGAGUACGAAAGAGGAUCGCGGAAUUCCCGGUGUAGAGGUGAAAUUCGUAGAUAUCGGGAAGGAACACCAGUGGCGAAGGCGGCGAUCUGGGUCGAGUACUGACGCUGAGGUGCGAAAGCGUGGGGAGCAAACAGG
rnacentral:rRNA from 1 species